ensembl:lncRNA
ACCCACUGAGGGAGAUGAGGAAACAGAGUUACGGCACCCUAGAGAAUGAGGGGCACCCAAUGCCAAAGCGCCAACAUACUGAGAAGAUGGGGAGGUAAACACAGAACAGACCCCGUCUGCUCUCUUUUAGCCCGUGGACUUCACGUGCUUGAUGAACCAGAACUCUGGGAGGCCAUUGCCUUGGCACAUGGAAUCCAAGGCUUAGCAAAAUUAAGGUGGCUAUCACUGGACAGCAUUUGUACUCCAAUAGCAUGCUGCUAGCCCCUGGCAGCCACCAUUCUACUGUCUGUUUCUAUGAAUUUGACUACUCUAGGUACCUCAUCCUGAGAUCUGAGCUCUACCGCUUUUCUCCUUAUGAACUCCAAGAGCACAGUACCAAAGGCAGCCCCUAGACAUUAGAAUUGCAAAAAAGGUCCAUCUUCCUCUUUCCAGUUAGAAGGACAGAAUUGAUAGCCAGGCCACUGCAUCCCCCAGCCUGUGCUUCAGUGUACAUCAGCGGAAGGAGCUGUGGGGUAAAGAUCCAAGCCAGGACACCACAUUACAUUGUUCUCAGGGCUCCUUUGGUUCCUGUUGACUAUGACCAUUUCUUAGAAUUACUUUGUUUUGAUGACCUUGACAAUAUUGAGGAGUACUGCUCAGGAAUAAUUUCGAUGUGACCCAGUGCAUCUUCUUUAGGAUCAUCACCAGGAAGCUGUGAGUGAUGUCACUGCCCUGAAUUGGUGAAGCACUGGGGUGUUUUUAUGCAGUUUAUGGUGGUGCUGCCUUCAUCCAGGCCUGUAAUUGGAAUCCUCAUGCUGUAGCUGCUCUGAGAAAAGAAAAAUCUAGAGAUAAAUGGAGUAGCAGAUCGGUGCCAAAUAUACUUUGAGGAUAACGGGAAGGUGAACACAGUGUGUCUUUCCAUCUGUGUUGUCUUCAAUUUCUUUCAUCAGUGUCAUAGUUUUCUGAAUACAGAUUUUUUACCUCCUCAGGCCCCUUAGCAUAUGGAAAUUCCAGGCCGAGGGAGAGAAUCUGAGCCAGAGUGCAACCUACACUGCAGCUACAGCAAUGUUGGAUCCUUAACCCACUGUGCCAGGCCAAGGAUCAAACUGGUGCCUCCACAGAGACAAGCCAGAUCAUUAACCCACUGUGUCACAGCAGGAACUCUAGGACUUUCUUCAAGGGUGAAUAAUGUUUCAUUGUAUGUAUAUGUGUGGCAGAGUGUGUGUAUGUGUUUGUGUGUGUUUGUGACAUCUUUGUUACCAUUCAUCCAUCAAAAGAUACUUAAUUUGUUUCCAUGCCUUAGCUAUUGUGAAUAAUUGCUGCAAUGAACAUAAGAGUACAGAUAUCUCUUCAAGAAUUAUUUUGUUUCCUGGAGUCCCUCUCGUGGCUCAGUGGUUAAUGAACUCGACUAGCAUCCAUGAGGACGCAGGUUUGACCCCUGGCUUCACCCAGUGGGUUAAGGAUCCAGCGUUGCUGUGAGCUGUGGUGUAGGUCGCAGACAUGGCUCAGAUCUGGUGUUGCUAUGGCUGUGGCAUAGGCCGGCAGCUGUAGCUCUGAUUGGACCCCUAGCCUGGGGACCUCCAUAUGCCACAGUUGCAGCAGUGAAAAGACAAAAAAAAGAAUUAUUUUGUUUCCUAAAAAUAGAGCUACUAUAUGAUCCAGCAAUCCUACUCCUGGGCAUAUAUCCAGAGAAAACUCUAAUUUGAAAAGAUACACGCACCUCAAUGUUCAUAGAAGCACUACGUACAAUAGCCAAGACAUGCAAGCAACCUAAAUGUCCAUUGACAGAUGAAUGGAUAAAGAAGAUGUGGUACAUAUAUACAAUGGAAUACUACUCAGCCAUAAAAGAGAAAUAAUGCCAUUUGUAGCAACAGGGAUGGACCUAAAGAUUAUCAUACUAAGUGAAGUAAGUCAUACAGAGAAAGUUAAACAUAUGGUAUCACUUAUAUGUAGAAUCUUUAAAAAAAUGAUAAAAAAGUGAUACAAAGGAACCUAUUUCCAAAAUAGAAAUAGACUUGCAGACAUAGAAAACCAACUUACAGUUUCCAAAAGGGAAAGGGGGGAGGGAUAAAUUAUUAGGAGUUUUGGAUUAACAGAUACACACUACUAUAUAUAAAAUAGGUAAACAAGGACCUACUCUCUAGCAUAGGGAACUCUACUCAAUAUUUUGUAAUAACAUAUAAGGGAAAAGAAUCUGAAAAAGAAUAUAUAUAUAUAUAUAUAUAUAUAUAUAUAUAUAUAUUCAUUCAAUUCAAUAUUCUGAAUCACUUUGCUAUACACCAGAAGUAACACAACACUGUAAAUCAACUAUACUUCAAUAAAAAAGAAUUAUUUUGUUUCCUUUGGACAUAUACUCAGAAGUGAGAUUGUUGAAUCAUAUGGUAGUUCCAUUUUUAAUUUCUUGAGAAAUAUCCAUUCUGUUUUCCAUAGUGGCUGUGAUAGUUUACAUUCCUACGAGUAGUAUACAAGGGUUCUCUUUCCUCCACGUCCUCAAUAGCCUUUGUUAUCUCUUGCCAUUUGAUGAUAAACAUUCUAACAGGUGUGAGAUGAUAUGUAGUUGUGGCUUUGAUUUACUUUUCUCUCUUGGUUAGUGAUGUUGAGCACCUUUUCAUGAUGUACCCAUUAGCCAUCUGGGUUUCUUUUUUUGGAAAAAUGUCUAUUUAGUUCUUAUGCACAUUUAAAAAAUUAGAUUUUUUUCUUUUAUUUAUGUUUGUUCCUUUUAUUAUUAGGUUGUAUGUGUUGCAUAAAUUCUUUAUAUAUUUUUGAUAUUACUCCCUUAUUUGAUAAUGUGGUUUACAAAUAUUUUUUCCCAUUCCAUAAGUUGCCCUUUUAUUUUGUUGAUUGUUUCUUUUACAGUGCAAGAGCCUUUUAGUUUAAUGUAGUCCCACUUGUUGAUUUUUUGCUUUUGUUGCUUGUGUGUUUGGUGCCACAUCAAAAAAAAA